rnacentral:lncRNA from 1 species
GCCUACUUAAAAAUAAGACGACAAAUGACAAUAAGAACAUCGAUCAAGUGGGUUAUGCAGCAAAUAAGAAGUAAUUUUACAAAUAAUAAUAUUAUAUAUAAGUUAAACAAACUUUCACAACUAUAUCAUCAAUGUGCACAUGGCAAAUGGGAAAACGUCUCCCAACUAUCCCACAUCGAGAAAAUGUUCUCAUCACCUGAAAAUUAUGACAAGCCAUGCUGUGUCAAAAGAAUUAAUGUUUAAAAGUUAAAAGGUAAAUUCUAGGAAUAUAAAAGGACUGCAACUUGUAGUUAUUUUCCUACAUCGAAGCAAAAGCCCAAUAAUGUUAAUGGUUUCUAAAGCCUUUCUAAUUUCUCCUUACAAGUUUGAAUCUCCACAGUGGCUUAAAAGUGCUAUUGUUUCCUAGCACGUUGUACCGAUCAUGAAAACUGUGCAAGAGUUGAGUGAUAAUUUGCACAUCCCUCACCUUGAGGAGAAAAUCAAGAACAGCUAACUUAUUUUCAGGGACGGAUUCAGGAUUGGAUCCAAGACCGGGAUACAAAAUUUCAAACCGGGCUACUAAGCAAAAAAAAUUUUUUUACACAUAAAAAACUGAUUUUUUACCAAAUAAAAAUAAAAAAUACUUAAAAAAAAAGUUUUUGGGCCUGAGUGUGGAGGAGGGGGGGCUGCAGCCCAGUCCAACCCAG